GUCUAUGUCCAUACCACCCUGGACAAGCCAGAUCUUGUUUGAUCUUGGAAAUAAACUAAGGUUGGGUCUGGUUAGAACUCAAAUGGGAGAAGAAUUGGUUUAUGUAGUCA
rnacentral:rRNA from 1 species